rnacentral:rRNA from 1 species
GACGAACGCUGGCGGCGUGGAUUAGGCAUGCAAGUCGAACGGUAUCAUCCUUUCGGGGGUGAGAGAGUGGCGAACUGGUGAGUAACACGUAGGUUAUCUACCCUCAAGACGGGGACAACCCAGGGAAACUUGGGCUAAUACCGGAUGUGAGCAACUUUUAGUUGUUUGAAAGGUGGCGUAAGCUGUCGCUUGGGGAUGAGCCUGCGUCCUAUUAGUUAGUUGGUGAGGUAACGGCUCACCUAGGCAAUGAUAGGUAGGCGGCCUUAACGGGUGGUCGCCCACACUGGGAUUGAGAUACGGCCCAGACUCCUACGGGAGGCAGCAGUCGAGAAUAGUCUACAAUGGUCGGAAGACUGAUAGUGCGACGCCGCGUGAACGAUGAAUCCCUUCGGGGUUAAAGUUCUUUUAUAUGUGAGCAGUGCUUCUUAUAUUAACAGUAUGGGGAGAGAGAUAUUAGCAUAUGAAUAAGCAACGGCUAACUCCGUGCCAGCAGCCGGGUAAG